UGAAGAGUUUGAUCAUGGCUCAGAUUGAACGCUGGCGGCAGGCCUAACACAUGCAAGUCGAACGGUAACAGGAAGCAGCUUGCUGCUUCGCUGACGAGUGGCGGACGGGUGAGUAAUGUCUGGGAAACUGCCUGAUGGAGGGGGAUAACUACUGGAAACGGUGGCUAAUACCGCAUAACGUCGCAAGACCAAAGAGGGGGACCUUCGGGCCUCUUGCCAUCAGAUGUGCCCAGAUGGGAUUAGCUAGUUGGUGAGGUAACGGCUCACCAAGGCGACGAUCCCUAGCUGGUCUGAGAGGAUGACCAGCCACACUGGAACUGAGACACGGUCCAGACUCCUACGGGAGGCAGCAGUGGGGAAUAUUGCACAAUGGGCGCAAGCCUGAUGCAGCCAUGCCGCGUGUAUGAAGAAGGCCUUCGGGUUGUAAAGUACUUUCAGCGGGGAGGAAGGUGUUGUGGUUAAUAACCGCAGCAAUUGACGUUACCCGCAGAAGAAGCACCGGCUAACUCCGUGCCAGCAGCCGCGGUAAUACGGAGGGUGCAAGCGUUAAUCGGAAUUACUGGGCGUAAAGCGCACGCAGGCGGUCUGUCAAGUCGGAUGUGAAAUCCCCGGGCUCAACCUGGGAACUGCAUUCGAAACUGGCAGGCUUGAGUCUUGUAGAGGGGGGUAGAAUUCCAGGUGUAGCGGUGAAAUGCGUAGAGAUCUGGAGGAAUACCGGUGGCGAAGGCGGCCCCCUGGACAAAGACUGACGCUCAGGUGCGAAAGCGUGGGGAGCAAACAGGAUUAGAUACCCUGGUAGUCCACGCCGUAAACGAUGUCUACUUGGAGGUUGUGCCCUUGAGGCGUGGCUUCCGGAGCUAACGCGUUAAGUAGACCGCCUGGGGAGUACGGCCGCAAGGUUAAAACUCAAAUGAAUUGACGGGGGCCCGCACAAGCGGUGGAGCAUGUGGUUUAAUUCGAUGCAACGCGAAGAACCUUACCUGGUCUUGACAUCCACAGAACUUUCCAGAGAUGGAUUGGUGCCUUCGGGAACUGUGAGACAGGUGCUGCAUGGCUGUCGUCAGCUCGUGUUGUGAAAUGUUGGGUUAAGUCCCGCAACGAGCGCAACCCUUAUCCUUUGUUGCCAGCGGUUAGGCCGGGAACUCAAAGGAGACUGCCAGUGAUAAACUGGAGGAAGGUGGGGAUGACGUCAAGUCAUCAUGGCCCUUACGACCAGGGCUACACACGUGCUACAAUGGCGCAUACAAAGAGAAGCGACCUCGCGAGAGCAAGCGGACCUCAUAAAGUGCGUCGUAGUCCGGAUUGGAGUCUGCAACUCGACUCCAUGAAGUCGGAAUCGCUAGUAAUCGUGGAUCAGAAUGCCACGGUGAAUACGUUCCCGGGCCUUGUACACACCGCCCGUCACACCAUGGGAGUGGGUUGCAAAAGAAGUAGGUAGCUUAACCUUCGGGAGGGCGCUUACCACUUUGUGAUUCAUGACUGGGGUGAAGUCGUAACAAGGUAACCGUAGGGGAACCUGCGGUUGGAUCACCUCCUUACCUGAAAAAA
rnacentral:rRNA from 1 species